CGCGUCAGUUUUGUCCAUGCGG
rnacentral:miRNA from 1 species